rnacentral:rRNA from 1 species
ACGCUGGCGGUAUGCUUAACACAUGCAAGUCGAGCGAGAAUCGUUUUGCUGAAGGCUUCGGUCUGACGCAGAAUGAGGAAAGCGGCGAACGGGUGAGUAACGCGUGGGCAACCUGGCCUUAAGAAAAGGAUAGCCCCCGGAAACGGGGAGUAAUACUUUAUGAGAAUGAAAGAGGGCAUCCUACUUUCAUUCAAAGCGCAAGCGCUUAAGGAUGGGCCCGCGUAUCAUUAGCUAGUUGGUGAGAUAACAGCCCACCAAGGCAACGAUGAUUAGCCGGUCUGAGAGGGCGAACGGCCACAUUGGAACUGAGAGACGGUCCAAACUCCUACGGGAGGCAGCAGUGGGGAAUAUUGCGCAAUGGAGAAGAACUCUGACGCAGCAAUACCGCGUGAGCGAAGAAGGUCUUCGGAUCGUAAAGCUCUGUUAUCAGGGAAGAAGAAAAUGACGGUACCUGAUGAGCAAGUCCCGGCUAACUACGUGCCAGCAGCCGCGGUAAUACGUAGGGGACAAGCGUUGUCCGGAAUCACUGGGCGUAAAGGGCGCGCAGGCGGUGAUUUAAGCAGGAUGUGAAAGGCUACGGCUCAACCGUAGACAUGCACCCUGAACUGGGUCACUUGAGUAUUGGAGAGGCAGGCAGAAUUCCUGGUGUAGCGGUGAAAUGCGUAGAUAUCAGGAGGAAUACCGGAGGCGAAGGCGGCCUGCUGGACAAAUACUGACGCUGAGGCGCGAAAGCGUGGGGAGCAAACAGGAUUAGAUACCCCUGGUAGUCCACGCCGUAAACGAUGAAUGCUGGUUGUUGGUCUUUAAAGAUCAGUGACGACGUAAACACGAUAAGCAUUCCGCCUGGGGAGUACGAUCGCAAGAUUGAAACUCAAAUGAAUUGACGGAAGGGCGAA